GGAUGAUGUGGUCAAAAUACUCAUUUGCCUAAUAAUUCUGCACUCCCUGUAUUUAUUUGACAUUACCAAAGAUGACCUCUUCAGGGUACUCUAACUUUAAAAAGUGAUAACAUUUUUAAUAAAUCCGAUAAAAGCUUGUUUAAAAGAUGUGGAAAUCUCUGACAUAGUUGUUACCUAGGGAUUAUCAGGCCUAGGUUUAAAU